rnacentral:rRNA from 1 species
UACGGAGGGAGCUAGCGUUGUUCGGAAUUACUGGGCGUAAAGCGCGUGUAGGCGGCAGUGCAAGUCGGGUGUGAAAGCCCUCAGCUCAACUGAGGAAGUGCGCCCGAAACUGCAUUGCUUGAGUACCGGAGAGGAUGGUGGAAUUCCCGAAGUAGAGGUGAAAAUUCGUAGAUAUCGGGAGGAACACCGGUGGCGAAGGCGACCAUCUGGACGGAUACUGACGCUGAGACGCGAAAGCGUGGGUAGCAAAGAGA